UGCUGGAGGUAUCAGAAGUGCGAAUGCUGACAUAAGUAACGAUAAAGCGGGUGAAAAGCCCGCUCGCCGGAAGACCAAGGGUUCCUGUCCAACGUUAAUCGGGGCAGGGUGAGUCGACCCCUAAGGCGAGGCCGAAAGGCGUAGUCGAUGGGAAACGGGUUAAUAUUCCCGUACUUGGUGUUACUGCGAAGGGGGGACGGAGAAGGCUAUGUUGGCCGGGCGACGGUUGUCCCGGUUUAAGCGUGUAGGUGUGUGUUCCAGGUAAAUCCGGUUCACUUUAACACUGAGGCGUGAUGACGAGGCACUACGGUGCUGAAGCAACAAAUGCCCUGCUUCCAGGAAAAGCCUCUAAGCAUCAGGUAACAUCAAAUCGUACCCCAAACCGACACAGGUGGUCAGGUAGAGAAUACCAAGGCGCUUGAGAGAACUCGGGUGAAGGAACUAGGCAAAAUGGUGCCGUAACUUCGGGAGAAGGCACGCUGACAUGUAGGUGAAGUGAUUUACUCAUGGAGCUGAAGUCAGUCGAAGAUACCAGCUGGCUGCAACUGUUUAUUAAAAACACAGCACUGUGCAAACACGAAAGUGGACGUAUACGGUGUGACGCCUGCCCGGUGCCGGAAGGUUAAUUGAUGGGGUCAGCGCAAGCGAAGCUCCUGAUCGAAGCCCCGGUAAACGGCGGCCGUAACUAUAACGGUCCUAAGGUAGCGAAAUUCCUUGUCGGGUAAGUUCCGACCUGCACGAAUGGCGUAAUGAUGGCCAGGCUGUCUCCACCCGAGACUCAGUGAAAUUGAACUCGCUGUGAAGAUGCAGUGUACCCGCGGCAAGACGGAAAGACCCCGUGAACCUUUACUAUAGCUUGACACUGAACAUUGAGCCUUGAUGUGUAGGAUAGGUGGGAGGCUUUGAAGCGUGGACGCCAGUCUGCGUGGAGCCGACCUUGAAAUACCACCCUUUAAUGUUUGAUGUUCUAACGUGGACCCGUAAUCCGGGUUGCGGACAGUGUCUGGUGGGUAGUUUGACUGGGGCGGUCUCCUCCUAAAGAGUAACGGAGGAGCACGAAGGUUGGCUAAUCCUGGUCGGACAUCAGGAGGUUAGUGCAAUGGCAUAAGCCAGCUUGACUGCGAGCGUGACGGCGCGAGCAGGUGCGAAAGCAGGUCAUAGUGAUCCGGUGGUUCUGAAUGGAAGGGCCAUCGCUCAACGGAUAAAAGGUACUCCGGGGAUAACAGGCUGAUACCGCCCAAGAGUUCAUAUCGACGGCGGUGUUUGGCACCUCGAUGUCGGCUCAUCACAUCCUGGGGCUGAAGUAGGUCCCAAGGGUAUGGCUGUUCGCCAUUUAAAGUGGUACGCGAGCUGGGUUUAGAACGUCGUGAGACAGUUCGGUCCCUAUCUGCCGUGGGCGCUGGAGAACUGAGGGGGGCUGCUCCUAGUACGAGAGGACCGGAGUGGACGCAUCACUGGUGUUCGGGUUGUCAUGCCAAUGGCACUGCCCGGUAGCUAAAUGCGGAAGAGAUAAGUGCUGAAAGCAUCUAAGCACGAAACUUGCCCCGAGAUGAGUUCUCCCUGAGACUUAAAGUCUCCUGAAGGAACGUUGAAGACGACGACGUUGAUAGGCCGGGUGUGUAAGCGCAGCGAUGCGUUGAGCUAACCGGUACUAAUGAACCGUGAGGCUUAACCUUACAACGCCGAAG
rnacentral:rRNA from 1 species